UUCCUUUUAAUACAAAUACAUAAAUUACUAAAAUCGUUUUAAAUGCUCAUUGGUUAAAAACAACAAAUGUGUGAUUAUUUUCCUCAUGGACAUUAAAUUUCUAAUCUGGCAUGUAUCACUUUGAAUAAAACUUUAUAUUAUCUAUUUGUAGUAAAUUGUGAUCUACACUUUUAUACAUUUUACAUUCAAAUUUUUAUCUUCAUAAAGGUUGUGAGAUAUUUUUGUUAGUAAGUGCUUCAGACACCAAAUUUUGCAUCAGUUCUAUAGCCCAAAUAAACAAAGACAACAAGAGUGCAUGUUUAUUUUUUGUGAAAUAAAAGUAAAAAUAAAAUCAAACGACAAGAUUGCCGACUUGCCCUUUGAAUAAUUGUGUUCAUUGUCAUCCAACUUAUUUUAUUUUAUUUAUUUGCGGGCACAGAUUUCAAUAUUUUGUCAAGUAACCUACCCAAUUUGCGAUGUCAAAUCUACUAUAAUGAAGGUUGAAUUCAAUGUGCCAUUAAUUCACAAAAACAAUUUAAGAUCUGUAGCACAGGUUUGGUUGAUGCACGCACCUUUAAAUGUACCUUGUGAAGCACAUAGCAAAUAUCAACAACAGCUACAACACCCUUGAGAAGUGUAUUACAAUUCCAAUUCCAAGUGAUGCGUAUAAACUACUACCCACAAUUGUAU
rnacentral:lncRNA from 1 species